GAUGAACGCUGGCGGCAGGCUGAACACAUGCAAGUCGAGCGGGGUGAUGGUGCUUGCACUAUCACUUAGCGGCGGACGGGUGAGUAAUGCUUAGGAAUCUGCCUAUUAGUGGGGGACAACAUCUCGAAAGGGAUGCUAAUACCGCAUACGUCCUACGGGAGAAAGCAGGGGAUCACUUGUGACCUUGCGCUUAUAGAUGAGGAUACGUCGGAUUAGCUAGUUGGUGGGGUAAAGGCCUACCAAGGCGACGCUCUGUAGCGGGUCUGAGAGGAUGAUCCGCCACACUGGGACUGAGACGCGGCCCAGACUCCUACGGGAGGCAGCAGUGGGGCAUAUUGGACAAUGGGGGAACCCUGAUCCAGCCAUGCCGCGUGUGUGAAGAAGGCCUUAUGGUUGUAAAGCACUUUAAGCGAGGAGGAGGCUCUUUUGGUUAAUACCCAAGAUGAGUGGACGUUACUCGCAGAAUAAGCACCGGCUAACUCUGUGCCAGCCGCCGCCGUAA
rnacentral:rRNA from 1 species